UAACCUACUCGAAGCUAAUUGUAAAAUGCGCGAGAAAGAGGUAUAAAAAAAGCAUAUACAUCGAUACCACAAACAGCAUGGUGGGGACAGUCAUCAUCUUGUACCGUUGGUGGGGAUCGUUUUGCACUUGUAGUUCAUAUUUUGUCCAUACCAGUCGCUCAAAUUACAAACGUUUCUAGCGAAAGGUGGUGUGUAAUUUUUAGGUGGACAUUUAGUAUGAUGGUUUCUUGUUAUGAAGGAGUGUUACAAGAGAAUGAAUUAUAUUCAUCAUUGACAGAGUAUCAGAAUAAUGUCCAGAAGACGGCAUUGUUCAAAUCUUGGAACAUGAGAAUAAUUCUAGAAAGAAAGAUAAUGGAUCUGAGUUACAAUCGUACAGGGAAUUGAGAAAAUGUUUUGAAAGGAGUAUCAUAUUAAUUGAAUUGUCCAACCAUCGAUGAUCAGAAAUCUGUUAGAUCAAUUAAAUACACAAAAAGAAGUCGAUCUAAAAAUGUAUUACUAUGCUGCUGUUCAUCUCAUUUACUUUUACAGAUGCAUUUGUUUUCUAUUUAAGUUUCCAAGACUGCUCACAUUUUGGAAAAGAGUGAAAGUAGCCUGCUGCACUUUUAUUGAUAGAACUAUGUUCAAAUUAGUUUUCAAAGAUGAAACAUUGACUGAAAAAGUCCUCACAAAGAUGGUCGUCCCCAUAAGAUCAUGCCUCAAUACUAUCCAAAACUCCAUGACUACUGGAUUUUCAUUGAAUAAGAAAUUGUUAUUUGUAUGAGAAUAGGGAAGAAAAAUAUCAAAGGAUUCAGGAAUAUCGUUUGAUGGUACGUAUCCGCCAGUUAGUCGAUGAUUUCUCGUCCAUACGUCAUAUUGGAAAAUUCAUUGUACAUGCACUGAUUGAGAAAAGCAAGAGAGCUAUUCAAAAGAUUAUCAGAAUCAUCUGAAGAACAUAUAUCAUACUGAUAAAUAUGGCUGCAGUAAAUAUGUAGAGAUGAAAACAGAGCAAUUGUAUCUAUCGAAUCUGCUAGCCUAAUAACAAUUAUAGAGAAAGAGAGAAGCAGUUUAUUACAAAUGAUGUUUAAGUAGAAUUGCAGCUGAAGGUUUUGUGAAAACUAAUGGUAACAAAGCUUAUGUUUGUUAACGGUUAUGGAUUUUUGUCCCAUCGAUCAUACUUUUUGGUCAUAUUAUGGAUAAAUUUCGUUAGAAGGAAAUUAUUUAGAUCUGCUAAUUGAAUGGGAAAAUUGCUUUGUUUCAUGUUGAUAGAACGAUCCUUGGUGAAAGAAGAUUAAAUUUGAGAUGUAGACCACGUUCUUGUAUUAAUCUUACUAGGUCAGUCUAUCUUCAAAUGGACUUUUAUCUAUUGAAUGAUUCACUUUUAGCGGUAGAUGCUCUGGCAAAUAUAUGUACCGUUGAGCAAUGCAUAUGUGGGUAUCUGUAAAACAAGAUAAUGAUCUUAGAGAUCCAUCAGUUACAGUUUUCAAGUUGUGCCGAUGAAGUUAUUUCAAUGCAUGAUGGCUCUUUCUGGACCAAAACUGAUUUUAAUACUGUUAAGGUUUCUGGUGUUUACUUCAUCAAGUUUGUAAUUCAAAAAAAACAAAUAAUCUACAUACAAAAGGAUGAUAGAAGAUUCAACAGAUUGAUAUAGAAAAUAACUAUAGUAGGAAGCCUAGGCACCUUCUUCGAGAUUUUUGUAUGGUAAUAAGUUAAACAAUUGCAAGGAAAAAUGAAUUGAUUUAAUGUAUUAAGGUGUAAAUUUUCUCAUUAGCUGGUUGUUUAUCAUGUCAACAAGAUAACAAAAUUUUAUUAACAAGGUCGAUUACAAGUCUCUGCUCACGUAAGCCAACGUUGUAUGGUCUGAUUAAUGCGUUAAACGUAGAGAAAAUUUGCAUCAACGAAUUCGACAAUUAUUAAGAAAUCUUCAUUAUUUUGGCUAUCUCAUCUUUAUAUUGGAUUUAUGAGCUUUUAGUAUUUAUAUCAAAUUAAUCUUUUUUGUUUACAAUACAAUUAUAAUCGUAUUCUUCCUCUUCUUGAAAGACACCGUAGUCAGUAAUCAGGAUUACAGUCAAUAGACCAGUGAUCAGGCAAAUUACUAUACUCGUGCACAUAAUUACGAGAGAUGUGAGAUAGACGGUCAGGGAGGAAAAUCUGAUUUUGAACUUCAUCAAAAAAAUUCUCAAAUAUAAUCAUUUACAGAAAAAACCAAUGUUAUAUAGUGAUCCGAAAUUCAAUUGAUCAAAUUGAAAAAGAUUGAUCAAAGUAUGACCUUGUCGAAUUUAAAUGCAUCAGAUUGAAUUAUGUAAUAAUGGAUCCAUACAUUUUGAAGAAUAUAAUAUUCACGAUCAUUUCAGCAGAGAAGAUUGCUACUUAUAUUGGUCCAGAAAAUCUACUUUGAUUAUUUUUCAAUUAUCUAUUGUGGAAGGAAAACUAUAAAAGAAGUCUGAUAUAUAUUUGUGGAGUAUAUAUAUACACAUACAAGAAACAAUUUUUCAUGUAAUCAAAAGAAAAUAAAGGAAGAACGAAAAGAUAAAAAAGUUAUGUGUUGCAUCGAACGAAAGAAAAUAAUCAUUAAAAUGAUCUGAAUAUAUUGGAAAAAAUGUUUUUUCAUCAUUUGAUAAAUCUACUCCAAUGUGACAAUUUUUAAAACAUUAUUUUUCCAAUCGUUUACACUCUUGAAUUUUUUUCUAUGCGAAUAUUUAAAAUUCAGAAUAUAUGUCACCUAAUCAAUUUUCGAAGUCGAAGAAUACUGUCAAAUUACACCUGUUGCACUGCAAAAUGUUGGACAAAACACUAAAAAAAAACUUUAUUAAUGCAUGCAAAAAAGCGAUUUGAACAUUUUAAACAUUUAAUAAAAUAAAAGUUGUUUUCAACCAAAUAUUUUAAAACGCGUUUCUUCGGAAACUAUUGACUCAAAAUGAAAAAACCAUUGUAAGACAGUUAAAAUACUUUCCAUAUAUGUGAUUCGACCCUUUUUGCCAUUUAAGAUGUUUGAGGUUAUUAACUGCUUAGAGAAUUAACCCAAAGUAGGUGAAUUUAUUUAAGACAUUAGAUUUAUUUAAGUCAUUAGAUUUCGUAAUAAAACUGAUGAAUGUUUUUUGUUUGGACAAUGUAUAUGUAUGUAUGUAUGUUACAUAGGGUAAUCGAUAUCUUUCCAUUUUUAUCAUUUUGUUUUUAUUCUUGUAUUCGUGACCUUGUAUUUGAUCUAUUUUUGUUAUUAAAAAUAUUUUAUCGAAAUAAAUAUUGAUGAGCAUCCACGUCAAAUUCAA